rfam:Candidatus Yanofskybacteria bacterium RIFCSPHIGHO2_02_FTLL_43_15c rifcsphigho2_02_scaffold_2653, whole genome shotgun sequence.
GGCGCAUUCGUCUAGUGGUCAGGACACAUGCUUCUCAGGCAUGUAACAGGGGUUCGAUUCCCCUAUGCGCUA